CCAACACCAGGAGCUCAGAGCGAACCCGAAAGUGGAGCACCGCGUACUCCUCCAUCUUGGGCUGGUCGUACCCCAUGGCGACCCGACCGACCGGGGAGCAGCUGGCGAGUGGCAGGCGCGGAGGCGAGCAGAUCUGGGUGGCUGCCACCUCUUACCGGCUACAACAGGGAGUGGCUGCCACCUCUUACCGGCCACCUCUUACUCGAUCUGUGCCAUCUCUUCUCCUCGACGGCUCUGGCGUCAGCCAGCCAGCCACAACCGAGCCGAGCCAGAUCUGGCGAGGGUCCCUGACGGCGAGUAGGCAACAGUGCGUGGGCACGAUGGUCUCC
rnacentral:lncRNA from 1 species